rnacentral:rRNA from 1 species
AUUGAACGCUGGCGGCAUGCCUUACACAUGCAAGUCGAACGGUAACAGGUCUUCGGAUGCUGACGAGUAGCGAACGGGUGAGUAAUACAUCGGAACGUGCCCGAGAGUGGGGGAUAACGAAGCGAAAGCUUUGCUAAUACCGCAUACGAACUCAGGAUGAAAGCAGGGGACCGCAAGGCCUUGCGCUCACGGAGCGGCCGAUGGCAGAUUAGGUAGGUGGUGGGAUAAAAGCUUACCAAGCCGACGAUCUGUAGCUGGUAUGAGAGGACGACCAGCCACACUGGGACUGAGACACGGCCCAGACUCCUACGGGAGGCAGCAGUGGGGAAUUUUGGACAAUGGGCGCAAGCCUGAUCCAGCCAUGCCGCGUGCAGGAUGAAGGCCUUCGGGUUGUAAACUGCUUUUGUACGGAACGAAAAGACUCCUUCUAAUAAAGGGGGUCCAUGACGGUACCGUAAGAAUAAGCACCGGCUAACUAUGUGCCAGCAGCCGCCGUAACAC